rnacentral:lncRNA from 1 species
GGUGACGGUGCAACUCUCUCUCUUAUUUUCAUUUUUAUUUUUUUUCACAACUCGUCGUAGGUCAUAUUUCCCGCCAAAUACAAUUACAAACCCCCUUUUUCUUUUUUUUCUUUUUUUUAAUGUCUAAUUCUUUGAUUUUUACCAUUUUUCUCAAGCCCCUAUUCAGUACUUCCCAUUUCAAAUUGUUAUCAACCCUGCUUCCAAAAGGCUGUCAAUUUUCACCCUACCUCCUCCAGGUACAUUAGCUAUUCCUUACCUAUUCUGGGUAUAUAUACCUUUCAAUUCGUCUGUGGUUAAAUUUUCUGGGUAAUUUGUCAUUUUUCCUUUUCCUUCACUUGGUCUGUUUUUAUGAUGAGUUUUUGUUUUCUUUUUAUUUCCCUAUUGUUUACUCGUUAUGGUAUAAACACAAAAAAUGCUGUAGUGUUGAAUUUGGAAUUCUUUGAAAAGUUAAAAAACUGGAUGCAAAUUGAAACUUCAUUAAUUUUUUUGGGUGAGGCUGCAUUAGAAUGAGCAGAGUCAGUCAACAAGAAAGUGGUCCACACUCCAGAGUCCGGACAAUUGCACAGCUGGGAGCCUGGACCUGUAGCUUAUUUUAUCACAUUAUAAAUAAGUUUCUUUAGUAAAAUUCUUAAUUUUUUCCAGUUAUAUCUUUUUCUUGGAUGGUAAAUUUGGUAGUGGUGUCAAGAUCUGUAAAAUCUGCCUGGUGUUUACCGCUCUAAAGACAACCACUAAUUCUGAGGAUAAUACUUCGGCUUUCU